rnacentral:rRNA from 1 species
UACGUAGGGGGCAAGCGUUGUCCGGAUUUAUUGGGCGUAAAGAGCGUGUAGGCGGCCAGACAGGUCCGUUGUGAAAACUCGAGGCUCAACCUCGAAGAUGUCGAUGGAAACCGUCUGGCUAGAGUCCGGAAGAGGAGUGUGGAAUUCCUGGUGUAGCGGUGAAAUGCGCAGAUAUCAGGAGGAACACCGGUGGCGAAGGCGGGUCUCGUGGGCAGUAACUGACGCUGAGGAGCGAAAGCGUGGGGAGCGAACAGG